GGGAGGAAAAGAAACUAACAAGGAUUUUCUUAGUAGCGGCGAGCGAAAAGAAAACAGUUCAGCACUAAGUCACUUUGUCUUAAUGGCAAAUGUGAGAUGCAGUGUAUGGAAUGUCCAAUUUCUAGUAUGAGAAAUUAACGAUUUAAGUCCUUCUUAAAUGAGGCCAUUUACCCAAAGAGGGUGCCAGGCCCGUAUAACGUUAAUGAUUACUAGAGGAUAUUUCCGAAGAGUCGUGUUGCUUGAUAGUGCAGCACUAAGUGGGUGGUAAACUCCAUCUAAAACUAAAUAUAACCAUGAGACCGAUAGCAAACAAGUACCGUGAGGGAAAGUUGAAAAGAACUCUGAAUAGAGAGUUAAACAGUACGUGAAACUGCUUAGAGGUUAAGCCCGAUGAACCUAAAUAUCCAUUAUGGAAAAUUCAUCAUUAUGAUUGUAAUAAUAAUAUUAUUAUAAAAAUGGUGUGCAUUUUUUCUAUAUAAGGACAUUGUAAUCUAUUAACAUACAUCAAUUUAUCAAAAGAUCAAUGGCGUAAGUUUAUUCCAAUUAUUUUGCUUGCAAUUUAACACGGAUUAAAUGCUAUAGAUUUGAUAAAGUGUUGAUAGAUUUAUUAUAUAUGGUGCUUAAAUAUAUAUUUUAUAUAUUUUAUAAUAUUCAUAUUAAUGUAUAAUUUUUAUGUUUAUUUAUAUGCACUUAUAUGAUUAACAAUGCGAAAGAUUUAGGAUACCUUCGGGACCCGUCUUGAAACACGGACCAAGGAGUCUAACAUAUUUGCAAGUUAUUGGGAAUUAAAAAACCUAAUAGCGAAAUUAACAUAACUUUAUGUAAUGGGAUUAGUUUUUGGAUUAUUUUUAGUCUAUUAAUUCAAUCCCGGGGCGUUCUAUCAGUUAUGUAUAAUAGUAUUUAUAUUAUUUAUACCUCUAACUAGAGCGUACCUCGAGCAUAUAUGUUGUGACCCGAAAGAUGGUGAACUAUACUUGAUCAGGUUGAAGUCAGGGGAAACCCUGAUGGAAGACCGAAACAG
rnacentral:rRNA from 1 species